AACGCACCUUGCGCCCCUUGGCUAUUCCGAAGGGCAUGCCUGUUUGAGUAUCAUGAACACCUCAACCCUCGUGGUUUACCACGAUCGGCUUGGACUUUGGAGGUUUUGCCGGCCCCUGUGGUCGGCUCCUCUCAAACGAAUCGGCUUACCAGUGUUUGGUGGCGUCGCAGGUGUGAUAAAUAUCUACGCUUGCGGCCGUCUGCCAUGUAACCUUCAGCGAUGAGGGUUUGCUGGGGGCUCACAGAUGUCUCUCCUGAGCGAAGACAGCUUUUUGAUCGUUCGAUCUCAAAUCAGGUAGGACUACCCGCUGAACUUAA
rnacentral:rRNA from 1 species